rnacentral:tRNA from 1 species
GUCAUUGUAGCCUAGCAGUUAAAAGCAUUGGGCCAGUAACCCAAAGGUUGCUGGUUCAAAUCCAAUUCAGAUAUU